rnacentral:rRNA from 1 species
UACGGAGGAUGCAAGCGUUAUCCGGAAUUAUUGGGCGUAAAGCGUCCGUAGGUGGCUAAUCAAGUCUGCUGUCAAAGCGUGGAGCUUAACUCCAUAACGGCAGUGGAAACUGAUGAGCUAGAGUGCGAUAGGGGUAGCAGGAAUUCCCAGUGUAGCGGUGAAAUGCGUAGAGAUUGGGAAGAACACCAGCGGCGAAGGCGCUCUGCUGGACCAUAACUGACACUCAGGGACGAAAGCUAGGGGAGCGAAUGGG